rnacentral:rRNA from 1 species
GACGAACGCUGGCGGCGUGCUUAACACAUGCAAGUCGAACGGUGAAGCGCCUUCCUUUUUGGUGGGUGUGGAUGAGUGGCGAACGGGUGAGUAACACGUGAGUAACCUGCCCCCUUCUUCUGGAUAACCGCAUGAAAGUGUGGCUAAUACGGGAUAUUCUGGGUCUGUCGCAUGAUGGGUCUGGGAAAGAUAUUGUUUCGGUGGGGGAUGGGCUCGCGGCCUAUCAGCUUGUUGGUGGGGUGAUGGCCUACCAAGGCGGUGACGGGUAGCCGGCCUGAGAGGGUGGGCGGUCACACUGGGACUGAGACACGGAGAAGACUACUACAGGAGGCAGCAGUGGGGAAUAUUGAACGAUGGGCGCAAGGCUGAUGCAGCGACGCCGCGUGAGGGAUGGAGGCCCUCGGGUUGUGAACCUCUUUCGCCAGUGAAGCAGGCCUGCCUCGUUUGUGGGUGGGUUGACGGUAGCUGGAUAAGAAGCGCCGGCUAACUACGUG